UGCAAAUUGAGAAAUAUACAAACAUGGGGUUCAUGUAUUUUUGCAAGAUUUGGUAGAGCUUGCGUUAAAAUUAUUGCUCAGAUCUCUAUUCACCUAGUUUUUCAGAUUAAUCCCAAUUUUUACAAUUUGCAUGCUUUUUCAGACUAACUCAUUUAUUCAACAAUUAAGUGGAGACUCUUUGCAUAUUUUUAUUUGUAAAAUGAAGCUUUAAAAGAGUAAUUACUAAAAGGAAAUGCUGACAGUGGCCAUUGCUUCAAUUUGGAGGGGGACGGAGCAUCACGUGACUUAAUUACAAUUUCCGCAAACCGCGCGCGACGGAGUCGACGAGCAUAGUUUGUAACGGUAAUAGAAAAAACAGAAGCGCAGUCACAGAUCAGAUCCCCAAAUCCUCCUAGAUCCAUAAAAUGGUUACACUUGAACCAUUUGAUGAACCUAAAGAUAAUAAGUCCAAAACCAACUACGUUAAGAGGAAUCAUGGCUCCACCAAAUUCUUCGUUUUCGUCGAUUAUCUUUUUCUCUGCAUUUUUUUUGGAAUUCUAUGUUUCAUCCUUCUCAAGUUUCUCGGUCUCUAUUGAUUAUUUUGUCCUGCACCCAGGAUAGACUUCACUAAAUGUCUAGGCUUGCAAAUGAAGAGUUCAAGUUUAAGGCAUCUCAGGUUUGGCAUCAUCAGAUUAAGGCUUUGCUUUAAAUUUAGAAUAUUUAUGUGGACAUUAAAGAAACCAAGUGAACAAAAUUUGUGAUUAUAAAUAUCUUUUUUUUUUUCCAUAUGUUCUUUCUUUGUUUCUUCACUAUGUUACAACCCAUAUGUAUUAGCUUGGAAAUUUUGAAACCUAUCUUUGUAGCAUUCUGUCGUUGCCAGCAUUAAAUAUUCUGUUAUUUCAGUAUCA